UACAGAGGUCCCAAGCGUUGUUCGGAUUCAUUGGGCGUAAAGCGUGCGCAGGCGGUUUUGUAAGCCAGAUGUGAAAUCCCCGGGCUUAACCUGGGAAUGGCAUUUGGGACUGCAAGGCUCGAGUGCGGCAGAGGAGACUGGAAUUCCUGGUGUAGCAGUGAAAUGCGUAGAUAUCAGGAGGAACACCGAUGGCGAAGGCAGGUCUCUGGGCUGACACUGACGCUCAUGCACGAAAGCGUGGGGAGCAAACAGG
rnacentral:rRNA from 1 species